GUGAGAAACAGGAAUCGGAAUUUCAAUCAGAACCGGCGUUUUGUCAUGUGUAACAUGAUACUGAUGGCAAAGCACGGCGAUCUACUUUGCUACCUGCGCUCUCGUGUGAGCCUUCGUCGCCUUCUUUCUUGACGAGGACACCGUUGCGUCGCAGUGUUCUGUUUGUGACACCGUGCUUCCUCAGCAGGUGGCGUUCACAGUUGGACUUGGUGGAGAAGAAGGCGUCACAGCGUGGACACGGGAACGGCUUCUGGCCUGAAGAGGAAGCACACGUCGGGUCAGAGCAGAAGAGCUGGCCCAAGGGAAGACUCGAGGACAGAAUGGACAGGUCAUCUUCUGGACAGAGUUGGAGUAUGCGUUCUUCUUCCCUUUUGAUUGUGGAAGCAACACCGUCUUCAGUUCCUCUCUUGGGCCGCUAUCCUUGUCCCUGCCGCCUCCUGCUUGCUCGCCAUCUGCUCAGAGAUACGUGUCAAGUUUCAUGUGUGUAUGAGGGCAUGUGUUUGAACCUUCGUCCUUUGCUCCCUCUGACCUCUCUUGGCUGCCAGGUCGCUCGUCCCCGUCUGCAGGUAGUUGCUGAACUUGUUGGCGUCCGUAGUGGCGAGCAUCUUUUCAACACUGGCAAACUCACCGCUGGACUCGAGGUCUACAGCAUUGCUCAUGACGCUCUGGUCUUUGACGGUUGGAGCUUCCUGAAGCGUCUGUGGUGGAUUCCGAAGCCGGCUGAGGUUUUCCCUCCAGCGAGGCCGCCUCCCUCUUCAGCAGGUCCGGAGCGCCGGACACUGAGUGGAUGAUCUGAGCAAUGGAUGCCAGAGGCGGGAGCUCUUUGAGGGCAGUAGGAGGAGCUGAGGCGGAGGAGGCAGGCUUUGGAAGGAGG